UGGGGAAUAUUGCGCAAUGGGCGAAAGCCUGACGCAGCGACGCCGUGUGGGUGAUGAAGGCCUUCGGGUCGUAAAACCCUGUCGGGUGGAACGAAUCUCCAUCCUGCAAAUAGUGGGGUGGAUUGACGGUACCACCGAAGGAAGCCCCGGCUAACUACGUGCCAGCAGCCGCGGUAAUACGUAGGGGGCGAGCGUUGUUCGGAUUUAAUGGGCGUAAAGCGCGUGUAGGCGGUCCUGCAAGACGGAUGCGAAAGCCCCGGGCUUAACCCGGGAAGGGCAUUGGAAACUGCAGGUCUUGAGUACGGGUGAGGAUGGGGGAAUUCCCGGUGUAGAGGUGAAAUUCGUAGAUAUCGGGAGGAACACCAGUGGCGAAGGCGGUUUCCGGGUCUGAUACUGACGCUGAGGCGCGAAAGUGUGGGGAGCAAACA
rnacentral:rRNA from 1 species